rnacentral:rRNA from 1 species
ACUGCUCAGUAACACGUGGACAAUCUGCCCUGAAGUGGAGAAUAAUCCCGGGAAACUGGGGGUAAUACUCCAUAGUUCGUUAUUACUGGAAUGUUUUUCGAACGAAAGAUCCGUCGCUUCAGGAUGAGUCUGCGGCCGAUUAGGUAGUUGUUGGGGUAAUUGCCCAACAAGCCUGUAAUCGGUACGGGUUGUGGGAGCAAGAGCCCGGAGAUGGAUUCUGAGACACGAAUCCAGGCCCUACGGGGCGCAGCAGGCGCGAAAACUUUACCAUGCGGGCAACCGUGAUAAGGAAACCCCGAGUGCCAGCACAGGCUGGCUGUCCGCCAGUUUAAACAACUGGCGAAGAAAGGGCCGGGCAAGACCGGUGCCAGCCGCCGCGGUAAUACCGGCGGCUCGAGUGGUGGCCGCUAUUACUGGGCUUAAAGGGUCCGUAGCUUGAUAAUAGGGUCCCUUGAGAAAUCCGCCGGCUUAACUGUCAGGCUUUCAGGAGAUACUGUCUGGCUCGAGGCCGGGAGAGGUGAGAGGUACUUCAGGGGUAGGGGUGAAAUCUUGUAAUCCUUGAAGGACCACCAGUGGCGAAGGCGUCUCACCAGAACGGACCUGACGGCAAGGGACGAAAGCUAGGGGCACGAACCGGAUUAGAUACCCGGGUAGUCCUAGCCGUAAACGAUACUCGCUAGGUGUCGGCCACGGUGCGACCGUUGUCGGUGCCGUAGGGAAGCCGUGAAGCGAGCCACCUGGGAAGUACGGCCGCAAGGCUGAAACUUAAAGGAAUUGGCGGGGGAGCAC